CACCGCUUUCAGAUCAUAAAUACAUAUGGUAUCCCUAUACAUAUUUUGACAUUGAUUGUUACAGCUUCAGGCCACAGUUAUUCCCCGACAUUGGUUAAUGAAAAUAACAAGUGACACCCGGCUGCUCUAAGAACAGGAAAAUGAAUUUGUAAUAUUUGGACCAUGCUGAUGGGUUUUCACUCUUCAGCUCGAAUGGAUUUUUUUUUUGUAGAUUUGGCAAAAGAACAUGCCAGGCUACGCUUGUUUAGGCAAAAGCGGAAAGUUAUCUGAUAACUACAAAUGCACUCCCUCUUUCUGAAACUGCUACAUGUAUACAGGUUACAAAUUGGUAAUAAAUCUGAUGUUGCCACACAACUUAUGACUGUACAAGCUAUAAGUUAUAAGAUCAUUGCAAGCCAGGUCAGGCUAAAUUUGGAAACUAGCUAAGUUAUCCCAUUCCAUCAAAUAAUAAAUUUGAAGGUACCACUUGCCACACAACUUAUGACUACAUGCUCGCAUAGUCGUAUUUGCCUUAAAAAACAGUCAGCAGUUUCAUUAGUAUGUGUCUUCAGAAACAGUGAAAAGAUACACAAAUAUUUAUCUGCUUUCACCUAUCUUCCCAGCUUCAUCAAUCUAAGAGAUUGCUCUCCCUGUCCUGGACUCCUGGCUCAACCUCGAGUACAAUAGGUGUUCAUCAUCACCACCCAUCAGCUUUGAUGUUAUACUAGUACCCUCUUACUGUAGUACACUAGUACUAAAACAUGAAAACUGGCACCGCUCUAGUGCCAUCCAAUAUAAUAGCGUCAGAGAUUGUGAGCUAGUUCAGGGCUACAAGUUAUUAAGAUCAUAAAUUGCAAGUGAGUUCAGGGCAGAAAUUUGAAAUGGCUAACCAAAUGAAGCAAUUCCAUUCCAUCAAAUAAUAGUGAAGCAAAUCAUGGUGGAGAACUGUGACCAGCAAGUUGUUUCAUGAUUCACCUUGGCCAACUUAAAUGAACUCAAAAGUCUCACAUUAUGAAAUCAGAAAGCAAGGAGAAAUGGACCCCCAAUAAGACAGAACUGAGUUCACAAAUAACAUUAUUUUAGCACUAGCUAGACGAUUCUUCCAACUGACAUGGGCCAAAUAAUUUGGGAUCUUUAUGGAUGUGCUAUUAAUUAAUGGUCUGAACCCAAAGGUAAGGAUAACACUCCUAGCAUUUGCCAGUGAGCAAGGUUCCAUCACAAUUUCUCCCUAUGAAGAUUCAGUUUGCACCUUGCAGAUAUUUCAACAAAUGUCUGACCCACAAAUUUCAGUGCAUACCAAAGCCAAAAGUACAGCAAUACAUCAUGAUAAGCUAAUUUGAAAGUCAAAAGCUAAUUUCUUCCAAUUGACAUGAACCAAAUAGUUUGGGAUCUUUAUGGAUGUGCUAUCAAUUAGAAGUCUAAGCCCAAAGGUAAGGUACAGAUUAAAAAAAAGGCAGGAAAUGGCUGCAUAUAUGUAGCUUAAUGAGGAAAUUAUUGCUCGGACAGUCGUGGUAAGGUGCUUGUUCUUACCAUUGGUCAUGGAGCAAUUCAAGUCCAGGCUCACUGUUUGUUAUCUUCUGGACUCAUUGCCUAACAAUGCAACAGCACAUACACUCAUACAUCUCCCAGUGAGCAAAUUGACUUCCACCACGGUUUCAAGGUACUACUUCCCUAAUCCCUAUGAAGAUUUAGUUUGCAUCUUGAAAAUAUUUCAACAAAUGGCUAGCCCACAAAUUGCAGUGGAUACAAAAGCCAAAGUACAGCAAUCCAUAAGAUAAGCUAAUUUGAUAAAUCUUAUAAAGAGCUGCCGAAAUUGGCUAAUUUGUUCAUCACAAACUGACAGAAAGCCCAGCAUUCCAACCAGCACAUGUUACCCUCCACAAGGACUCAUCCACAUCUCAAGUUUUAUUUCAAGAAAUUCACAAGCAGCAGUAUACACCCAAUGAUCACACCUUUGCACCUACGAAACCUGGCAACACCCAAGAUAGAUACCGCGACGGCAGCAUAGGGGUGGUUAUCUCCUCGUGCUCAG
rnacentral:lncRNA from 1 species